UGGGGGUGCCAUGAUGUCCAUUCCAUGGCUCCCAGCAUAAUAUACAUUGCUCAACUGCACAAAUUCUUUCACCUUCACAAAUAGAAAGAAAGCAGAGACUCUCAGAGUUGGGAUCAAGAAGUGAGCAGAUACACCACGGCCAAAACGGUUAGUACUCUUUUACCUUGUCUAUACUUCUACCACUGAUUAUAGCAGUUGGAAAGCAUUUAGCAACCUCACGUACAGCUGCACGCAUCUGUACAUAUAUAGGAUAGAGAAUCAGUUCAGUAUAGAAUUGAAUUUUCCUUCAAUGUUUUACUUAUUUCAUUCUCAGAUAGCUAAAGCCAUGAUUUUUUUUACCUCUUCAGACAUGAAAGCCAAGUUAGGAUCAUCUACAAUAGGGGAGAGUGUUCCAUCGUAGUCCAAAAAGACGAUGAUCUUCUUCCCUUUCGCUGCCUUCAUCAUCUGAUCAAAUGAGUGCAAUGCAGAUGGGUGCUCACCCUGACAGGUUGAACAUCAAAAGUAAAUCCACAUAAGCUUCCAGUUAUCUUAUAGUGAAGGUGAGUAGGAGGAAACUUUACUUACCACCCAUGAAGUAUAGUUAACAUCUUCAAUAACCCUAACAAGCCCUGAACCAGGCAUUGUCUUGGUGUUAUUUACAGGAGGGUCGCUGUUGACCUGUCCAAGUUUCUGCUUGUUGUUAGAAGGAGAUCGCUGAAGUCCCAUUGCUUGGUUAAUCCUGGAGAUGUUCCUCUUCAACAUACCUACACAUAAAUAGCAAACUCUGGCGAUUGUCAGCAGUCAUAAAGAAACGACAAUGACUGUUAUUAAAAACCAUUACUGUAUUCCUUCAACAAAUACCUGAAAUCGACAUGUCUCCGGCUGUGUUUUUUUGGGGUUAUAUUAUGAAAGCUGGUAUUUAGUGCACUGCCGCCUUCUUUUUAUUUACAACAAACCUGCAAAUGGGAUUCCACAGUCAGCCGCCGCCUGAACAUGAAAUUACACUUCGGAUGUGGCAAAGUUGGUGUCACGGUCUUUAAAGCAUAAUAAUCUACCGGCUGACGCAAAACAGAAACCAUCAGUAUACUAUUUUAUACAAUAACAAACCCACUAACAAGCAACUUGCUGGCGAGUAAUAAUGCAACAAGUUCUUC
rnacentral:lncRNA from 1 species